CUGCGGAUAAUUCGUGAUUUAAAUUAUCUCGUGGAGGAACUUCGCGGUGAUUAUCUUGGCCAUGUACUAGGCCUUCUCAAGUCUUGUUCUUCUGAAGUACUUGAUCUUGUGAAGCAGAGUAGUUUACAGGGUAGCAAUUCCCUAAAAGUUCUUCAGCCUUCUAUAGUCCUGUAAUCUCCUAUUGAGUAGUCUGAGGAGGAUUUGCGACUAAUCAAAGGAAUAACUGCGACAUGUAGGAUGACCAACAAACCUCUUCCUGUUAGGCAUUCACCAUAUGUAUCUGGGAUAUUGCGCCCUUUAAAGGUAUUUCGUCGAUAUUAUGAAUUAGCUUCUGACAUUGUUAGUGUGGUAAGUAAACCUUCCUUAGAAUAUUUUUGUCCUUCAUAGCAGCCAAGAUAUACGAAUAUUUUUGUCCUUCAUUUGAGCCCUUUUUUAGGCUUAUAUUUUAUCGAACCAUCCCACAACA